rnacentral:rRNA from 1 species
GUGGGGAAUUUUGGACAAUGGGGGAAACCCUGAUCCAGCAAUGCCGCGUGAGUGAAGAAGGCCUUCGGGUUGUAAAGCUCUUUUGUCAGGGAAGAAACGGUGUCGAAUAAUACACGAUACUAAUGACGGUACCUGAAGAAUAAGCACCGGCUAACUACGUGCCAGCAGCCGCGGUAAUACGUAGGGUGCGAGCGUUAAUCGGAAUUACUGGGCGUAAAGCGUGCGCAGGCGGUUAUGCAAGACAGAUGUGAAAUCCCCGAGCUUAACUUGGGAAUUGCAUUUGUGACUGCAUAACUAGAGUGUGUCAGAGGGAGGUAGAAUUCCACGUGUAGCAGUGAAAUGCGUAGAUAUGUGGAGGAAUACCGAUGGCGAAGGCAGCCUCCUGGGAUAACACUGACGCUCAUGCACGAAAGCGUGGGGAGCAAACAGGAUUAGAAACCCCAGUAGUCC